UAAAUACUUCCUCCGUUCGGAAUUACUUGUCGCGAAAAUGGAUGUAUCUAGAUGUAUUUUAGUUUUAGAUACAUCCAUUUCCGAGACAAGUAAUUCCGAACGGAGGGAGUAUAAG
rnacentral:pre_miRNA from 1 species